rnacentral:lncRNA from 1 species
CCCGCGUUCAUACAUUUCUAAAAGACUUGCGACGCCUCACGCCUUAAUGCCAUCUCUUAAAGUUUGUAUGCUCUUCUGCUUUUGUACAGAGGUUUGGUUUUUUGUUUUUUAAGGAUAUAUUUUCAGUAUGAAGGUUAUUUUCUUAACUUCUGCACUCCAGAGUUUUCUAUUUUGUAGAACCUUUCAAAGUAUAUCAGCUAUAUGUAUGUAUAUCAAAAAAAAAAAAAAAAAAAAGCACACCCGCGCAUCUAGGGAACUAUUUUGAAAACUAUAUUCAAUAUUUAAAGACACAAACUGUAGUGCUCUGAAAUACUACAUAAAACAUUAUUUUAUUUUUUAAAGUGAUGCUGGAAAGUGCAAUUUUAAAAUGAGGAAAAAAAAAGUCUCUACUGUAUUUCCACUGGCAUUAAGGGUUGACGAUAAUGCCAUUUAUUCUUGUCAUGUUUUCUGGGUUUAUGGGGUUUUGGUUUGGUUUGGGGUUUUUGUUGUUGUUGUUGUUUUGUUUUGUUUUUAAUAACACUCUGUUCUUAAGCCAACAUGGAAAAGACUCCUCACAUCCAGAGUCCCAACACUGGAAAGCUCUGACCUGCCCUCACUACCUUGGGCUCUCUCUCCUGAGUCCUUAGUAACUGUGCCCCGCCCCCGCCCCGCCGUGCCCCGCCCCGCCCUUCUCCUUCCCUAGCUCCAGUGCAACUUUGGCAUAUCUAAGAAAAAUGGAUAAUUCCAAUAGAGAAGACAACUGAUGCCUUUUAUACUUCUUCCUGGGAUUGUGUUGGGGUCUUUUUAAUUAUUUUUGGUUUGUUUAGGGCGUCUUUUUAAUUAUCUUUGUUAAUUAUAUUUGGUUUGUUCUAUGUGUAUCUUCAGUAGCAGAAUACACAUUAAGGACAAGAUUUUACCAUCUUUGCCUAAGGCAUCUCUGCAUAGCUAUUUAAUUGUUCAGUAUGAAACCUGACCUUUCUAAUUCUUUGACUUUUUUUUUUUGAAGUCUGGGUUUUUAGAGACCAAGAAUGUAUGUGAUUAUAGACAAGACUUGUCAGUGGGAAGUUAAGCUUCUCGCUGCCUUUCUUUCUCCUGUGUUUCCUACAGAAUGCCUGGUGCCAUCAGGGAUGUCGGAAGCCCUGUGUUUGUUUAGCAGGGCUUCCCGCCGUUGCUCUGCAUUUGGUAGGUGAACACGGGCAGGUGAACACGGGCAUACACAUCCAGGAGAAGUCUCUGUAGGAGUUUAAGGGUAGAUUGUAAAUAACUUCUGACGCUUGCUCGCCAAAGUUGCCAAGUUCAUGGCCUGUAGUGUAAUGCGAAAUGCAGCCAUUUUAUUUCAAUGUUAUUCAAAGUGUUUGCCUUUUUUUUUUUUUUUUCUUUUUUGGAAGUAAAUGCACAGAUGCUGGGUUUUGUGCCUGUUUUAAGGCUUUUCUUUGGCAGAGUGAAUGUAAAAUACAGUAGAAAAGAUAAUAUCGUCAUCUCUUUUAUGAAUUAUAUCAACUUACAUCUUUUUAAGAAGGCUCAGUCCAGGAUGUGAGGUGUGCAAUAAGGGUAGCAGAUGCACAGUUGUGUUUCAUGGCAUGACAGAGUCCAUCCAAUCUCCCUUCCCAUCAGAGUUUUGCUAAUAGGCUUAACUCUUAUUUGUGGACUAAUAGUAGGAUCUUGCCCUCAGCAAACGCUUUCUGCUUUUAAAUUAAGAGAGUCCCAAUUGUCUUUUUUUUUUCUGCCUCCCCCCCACUUUAUCUUGACGGGAUGGAUUUUAUAUAUAUAAGAAAUAUUUAUUUAACUAUUCUAUAGAAUUAUCGAGUGCCUGCUAAGACCUUUAAGCAUCCCUCCUUCCUUAUUGCGUGGUAUAGAGCAGCUGGGAGAGUGAGAGGCGUCACUCGGGAAGCUGCAGCCACACGGGCCUGUUGGAAUGAGUGACCUCCUUAAAGGUAUCAGGUCCUCAUCCCUUGACUGGUGAGGAAAAAGUGCCUUCCUGCCGGCCACGGACUGACAUGGAGGUCUUCGGAUGAGCCCGGAUGCCCAUGUUCUUACUGUAUUUUACAAGUGCCUGGGGAAAUAUUUUCAAAAAUAAUAUUAAUAAUUU